rnacentral:lncRNA from 1 species
GAUUAUUCAGUUUCUGGCUACUAAAUAAAGUAGCUAUGGACAUGGUUGACAAGUGUCUCUGUGGUAGGAUGAUGAAGCCUUUGGGUAUACACCCAAGAGUGGUAUAGCUGGAUCUUGAAGUUCACUGUAUUUGGUUUAUGUUGAGGUCUUUGAUUCACUUGGAGUUGAGUUUUGUUCAAGCUGAUUGUGAUGCUUCACUCUGCCCAGGAAGAUGGGGAAGGAAGCCCAGUCUCUGCAGAUUGGAGAAUAAGAAAAGGAAAGUCAUUCCAUGACAAUAACACAUGGCCUUCUGCAGUGGUGCAGUAGACAGAUAACUGCCAUGAAGCUCUUCCCUUGGAGAAAAAAAAUUGAGCUGGGCUCCAAAUAGAAAAUCAGCAAGUGAAGCCCUUUAACCAAGCAUGAGGGAGUUUGGCUCAGUGUUUAGCUGUGGGUGUCUGCUUCUGCUUCCAUCAGCUACUGGAUGAAGACUCU